rnacentral:rRNA from 1 species
AGGAAAUAGAUACCCAGGUAGUCCUGGCCCUAAACGAUGGGCACUGGGUAGUGGCCCUGGCAUGGGGGUCACUGCCGCAGCCAAAGUGCUAAGUGCCCCGCCUGGGGAGUAUGGCCGCAAGGCUGAAACUCAAAGGAAUUGACGGGGGCUCACACAAGCGGUGGAGCAUGUGGCUUAAUUCGAGGCUACGCGAAGAACCUUAUCCUAGGCUUGACAUGUCCGAAAGGGGCCGGAGGUAGGACCCGGAAACGGGGACGAACGGUAUCCAACCCGGAACCGGCCGCAGGUGCUGCAUGGCUGUCGUCAGCUCGUGUCGUGAGAUGUCGGGUUAAGUCCCAUAACGAGCGAAACCCUUACCCCAGUUGCCAGCGGGUCACGCCGGGGACUCUGGGGGACUGCCGGUGUCAAACCGGAGGAAGGUGGGGAUGACGU